CCAGCACCUGCGGUAAUUCCAGCUCCAAUAGCGUAUAUUAAAGUUGUUGCAGUUAAAAAGCUCGUAGUUGGAUUUCUGGCAGGGCGCCGAUGCCCGCUUGUUGCGUGUGCAGAGCGCCCUACCAUCCUUCUGUUAACUCUAAUAGGCAUUGAUUUGUCUGUAGAGGGCUCAGAUAUUUUACUUUGAAAAAAUUAGAGUGUUUAAAGCAGGCUUACGCUUGAAUACAUUAGCAUGGAAUAAUGGAAUAGGACUUUGGUUCUAUUUUGUUGGUUUCUAGGACCAAAGUAAUGAUGAAUAGGGAUAGUUGGGGGCAUUAGUAUUGAGCUGUCAGAGGUGAAAUUCUUGGAUUUGCUCAAGACUAACAACUGCGAAAGCAUUUGCCAAGGAUGUUUUCAUUGAUCAAGAACGAAAGU
rnacentral:rRNA from 1 species